UCCAAUGUGGUCCAAUUGGAGGUCUGUAAGGUGGAGAGUUAGGAUUAGGGUUGUUGGGAAGAAAGAGGAGGAUCGAUAAAGUGGAAAAACCAAAAUGGCAUUGUUUCAAUGCCAAAUGCAUCAAAAUGAUAUUGUUUUGAUGGUGAAAAAAAUAAACUUAAUUAUAAAUUAUUUGGUUCAGGGGGAAUUAAUUGAUUCGGCUAGUUUAUCGAUUCAAUUGUCAAUUUGGACGAUUCGAGACUAGUCCAAACCUUAGACAAGUCAAAUUAUCGAACUGAAUUGGAGCAGUAACCAACCAAUAAUCAAAUCGGCCUGUUUAAUCUGAUUUUUAAAACUAUGAUUUAUUUUAAUAUUUUUUAAAUAUAACUUAGAGUGCAUUUUAUGGAGAUUAUUUUUAGUCUUUUAAAUCCUUAGAAAAAUAUAUUUCUUUUUAAAUGAGUUAAUAUGAAAUUGAGUUAAAUAUACAUAUCUAUCAUAAAUUUAUUUUUAUAUUAACUUUUUAUUUUUUAUAUUUAUCAUUUUGAAAAAUAAAAAUUUUUUAUUAAAAAAUUAAAUUUGUGAUUAAAUAAAAAAACUAAAAACUAUUGUUAAAUAAUACUAAUAUAUGUAUUUUAUAUAUAUAUAUAAUAUGUUUAAAUUAUUUCUAUAUAUUAAAUAAUAUAUGUGUAUAUAAACAUUUUUCAUUUAUAAAUUUUUAAAUAUUUUAAUUACAAAUAUUGUUAAAUGUAUCAAAAUUUUCAUAUUUUUUAAUAAUAAAUAUUAGAACACCAUAUAAUUUUUAUUUGAACAUUCAAAAAUAUAAUAUAUUUCAUUUCAUUUUUUUCAUUAUUUUAAAAACUAAAUGAAUGCUUUCUUUAAAAGAAAAAAGCUCAUGUACACGUGGAAACAUUGCGUUUGAGCUAAUAGAGAAUUGAGCGUGGGCAUUGAGACGCGUGCUUGAGUUCGCCGUGCCACUCUCCCACACACGUGCAAACGUGUCAUAUUCAUCUAACUAAAUAAUGACUACAACAAUUAUUUUAAUCAUAAUUCAAUUAAAUUUAAUGUCUAAUCUUUGUGAAAUAUGAGAGCUUGCGCUUGUUGAAGAGUUGGGCCACCAAAUUCGAUUAUUACAUCAGGGCCGUCCACUGUACGCCAAUAAUUCUAGAUUCUCGAAUCAUACCCUUAUUUUUAAUCAAAUAUAAUAUAUUAAUAUUUUUAAUUCUAUAAAAAUAUAUCUAAUACAUCAUAUAAUAGUUUUUUUAGAAGAUAAAACAAUCAAAUCUUCUCACUCAUCCUUCCUUAUGACUCAACCAAAAGUUUGACUUUUUGUAUGCUAGACUAGAGAUGGUAAUAAGAUGGGUUUUUUCGGUACCACAUCACCCAGCCUCUAAUGGGACAAGGUUCAAUUUUAAUAAAUGGAUUUGAGAUGAGUUUGAAAUUUUUUUUAAAAACCUGGGGGCGGGUUCAGGUAUUGCCCCGUCCGGCCUCGAUUAUAUAUAAAAUUAAUUUAAUUUUACUAUUUUUAAUAUAUAAAUAAUAAUAUAAUAUUUUUAAUAAAAUAAGUUAUAAAAAAUAUAAUAAUUUAAUUAUUUAUAAAAUAUAUUUAUUUUAAUGUAAUUAAAAAUUAAAAAAAAAAAUUAAAAAAAAUUAAAUUAAAUUAAAAAAAGAAGUUAAACGGGGCGAGGUGGAGUGGGUAUGAGAAUUUAUCAUACCCGCACCGUCCCGUCCUGCCCCAACCCUGUCCCGUUUAAUUUUUUAAAUGAGAUCGGGAUGAGAAUAUCCCAGUUUUACUCUGAUAUAGGUUGAGUUGAUAUUUUGUUGAUCAAAUUUGCUAUAGAUAUUUAAUUACUCUUGGUUUAUUUCAUAAUUCCCAAGCAACAGGGAGAAGGUUGUGGAUUAAGUUUAAUCUUUGCUUUUGGGUUGUACAUAUUUUUCCUUAGUUCUAUUGUUUGAUCUUCUUCUAAGCUUAGUCUGAUCUAUUUCCGGUUUAUUUAUGGGAAGGGUUUUGGGUGUUUUAUAUGGCAUGUAAUGAAGAAGGAUCAUUUGAAACUUUUAUCUGAAAUAGCAUGGAAGUAAUCAAAGGAUUUUGGGGAUUGCCUUCCCAUCUUUUCAUAUUUAUUUUAGGGGUAGAAUUGUUUUGAAUAAACAGGGCAGGGUCAAGGCGGAGUUGGGAUGGGGACGACCCGUUUCGAACCCGUCCCGUUGCUAUUCCUUUGCCAGUCUACCCAAUAAGUGAACAAAAUUUGAAAGAGAAAUCAAUUUCAAUUAUGAUUUUUUUUUAUUUUUGCCAAAAUAAUAUAAGCGUUGGAUGAGUAGAGAUGUGGGCACUAUACAUUGGAUUGGCUAUAAAUCCUAAAAAAUCUUCUAACCCCAUGGAGGCAUGCUUUAAAGAUAUUUUAUUAGAGUGGAAAAUGAUUAGACUUCCCUCUAUCACACAUAGCUUUUACUAAGUUCCGACAAUAUUGAUUGAUGAAUCGCCAUUCCAAUAUUAAUUAUUCAUUGCUAGUUGCCAAAAGAUUGAACGGUUUAAUUUGUUUUGUCUUAUAUAAGAAAAAGAAAAAGGCUUCUUUUAAGUUUACCCUUUUCUUUCAAUUGUAAUAACAGAUUGCCCUUGGAUGCCAACAAUUGCCAACAUGCACCACAUAUAUUGUUGUAUGGGUUUACCAAAUACUAGAUCAAAUGAAUUUUCAUCUAUUAUAUUUUUCGAAUAAGAAAAUUUAAGUCUUGUUUGGUUUUUCUUUUGAGAAUUCAGAAGAUUUUAUUUUAUUUUAAUAAAAGUUAUAUAUUUAUUUCAUUAGUUUUAUUCAAAAAGCUCGUACCUUAAAAAGGAUUUUGAUACGAGAGUUAUAAAGAUAUUGCUUCUUUGUAGAAUCUUUGUUUUGGUUUAUAUAGGAAGUUUUUUAAUAUUUAGGCUAUAUUUGAUUCUCAAAAAGUACGAAGGAAAGAAAAAAAAAAUGCUAAGAAAUAUGAUUUUCUCAUGUUUAAUUGUCCUAUAAAAAAUUUCAAAGAAAAUUAAGUAUAAUUAAAAAUAGUUAUAAAUUUAUGCAAUUUUAAAUUAUUUAAUCUGUAUAUUGAUGAGUUAAAAUAAAUAAAAUGAGUUUGAAAUAGCAAAUAAAAAUAAUUUAUCUACUUUAACCUUAUUUUCUAUUUUCCUUCACUUUUUAUUUUCUUCUACUUUUCCUCUCUAUUUUCUUUCCUUUGCAUGUUCCAUCAAAUUUUUCAAAAACCAAACAUAGCAUUAAUGUAAAUUUUAUAAUAUUAAGGUUAUGUUUGGUUUUGAAAAAUAUAGAAUAAAAUAAAAAGAAAAAGUAGAAAAUAAAUAAAUAAAUAGAUGUAGGCUAUGUUUGGUUCUGAAAAAUAUCAAGGAAAAAAAAACAUGUUAAAGGAAAAUGAUUUUCUCAUAUCUGAUUUUAAUGUGAAAAAUACCAAGUAAAAUUAAAAUUUAUAACUUGAACUCUAGCUUCGGAAUUCAUCGAUGAAGAAGAAGAAGAUGUUGUGGUGUACCACAAUUGGAUAUUUAUUUUGAAUUAUUUAUAUUUGGCUGCUUGGAAGAUUGGUAUUUGAAUGGUAAUAAUUGAAAAAGAAGAAAAAUAAGCAAUAUCUAAGAUGAGAUGACAAACUCCUAGUAUAUAUCUUAGGAUGUAAAUUAAGGUGUAGACACGGUUUUUACGAGGAAUCUUAAAGUACAUGGUAGAAGGAGAAUAAUAAGAUAGGUCAAGAACAUGAAAACACCUAGUGCUAUGAGUUCCAUUGUUUUUGUUACAAAUUUUGUCAACCCCUUGGGGUAUAAAUAUUGAGUUCCAACGUCAGAUCCCUCUCUAUGAUUCUGUUCACACCAAUAUUAUAAUCAACCAUGUUCCCUCCCUUGUAUAUUUAAAACUAGGUAAACCUCUCAAAACCAGCAGACUAUUAUUCCAUGAACCGCAAUGGAUCGGAGGGAUGCAUCUGCAGGCACCUUGCCCAAUGUUACCGACUUUGGUUUCCAUGAUUUCAUCAAUGAGCCUAACUUCGAGCAGUUGAUUGAGCUCAUCAGAGGAGAAAGCGCGGAUUCUCUCGUGAAGUUCUGCCCCAAUUAUGAUUGUGAGCACAUGAAUGGUUGUUUGGAUGAUAACCAGUUUGGCUCAUCCGUGGGAGAAUUGUUUGAGUUCGACCCUGCAACUGCAACGGUGUCGAAUCCUGAUUCGGUUAUCGACUCACUGCCGAGCAUUGAUGGGGAGAUGAAGGGAGGGGAAGAGAUUGAUGGGGAGGAUUCAUCCGGGAAUACUACCACUACACCCACAAAGGGGACCAAGGUUGAUAGGUCCAGAACUUUGAUUUCAGAGAGGAGGAGAAGAGUUCGAAUGAAGGAGAAGCUCUAUGCGUUACGUUCCUUGGUUCCUAACAUAACUAAGGUAUGUGGUGGCUAGCCCUCAGCCCUCUUUUUGAAUCAAAUUCUUCUGAAAUUGUAUUUGAUUAUGUGGGAAUGUUUAUAUGUAUGUAUGCAGAUGGACAAGGCCUCCAUUGUUGGAGAUGCUGUCCUGUAUGUGCAGCAGCUGCAGAUGCAGGCCAAGAAGCUAAAAGCUGAGAUUGGGGGCCUUGAAUCUUCGUUAGUGCUGGGAGCAGAGAGAUAUAAUGGCUUAGUGGAAAUCCCCAAGAAGAUUCAAGUUGCACGCAGCCACCAUCCCAUGUGUGGGAAGAUUUUUCAGGUUUGUAAGUUUGUUUGGUUGCUUUUAAAAGUAAGAAAAGUACUUCCAAAAUACUUAACAAAUUCAUCAAGUACAUGGGUGUGGAUUUGCAGAUGGAUGUGUUUCAAGUGGAGGAAAGAGGGUUCUAUGUGAGAUUGGCGUGCAACAGGGGAGAAAGGGUGGCGGUUUCGCUGUACAAGGCGCUUGAAUCCCUCACCGGCUUCAGCAUUCAGAGCUCUAACUUGGCCACAUUUUCAGAGACUUUUGUAUUGACAUUUACUUUGAAUGUAAGCUUCUCCUUCCACUUUCACUUCAUUGUCAUCAUUCAUCAUCAUCAUCAUCUUGAUCCUCUUCUCUUCUGGUACUUAGCAUUAAUCCAUCAAAUGUCACAAAAAUGCAGGUUAGAGAAUGUGAUGAAAGCAUGAACUUGCCAAAUUUGAAGCUAUGGUUAACUGGGGCUCUUCUGAACCAGGGAUUUGAGUUCAAAACACUUCCAUCCUCCUAAUUUACUUCUACAAAAUAAUUUCUGUAAUUCCACUCAAGUAUGUGAUCAUAACAAGGAGCAGCGAAUCCCAUACAUGGGUGCCAGUCAUUAGUCAGUACAGAAGUCCCAGGGUACACGAAUCCCAGUAUCAAUUUUCCCCCCGGUUUCGUGUAGCCGCAGAUGCAAUACAUUUUGGACAUGGUUGAUGACAUGUAUCAUCAAUUCAAAUCAAUGAAAGUCAGCUUGAUUAGUUAGUGUCAGAGCUGUGGUAUCAUAUUUUGAUCAUGAAGCUAACUUAACUAAGGGGAGUUGAUGCCUCCCUCACAAGAUGGGAAUUUACUACUUGAUCUUGUGGGUGAGAGUUGAGAAGUAUCAUAGGUUUGUUUUGUUCUGGGUUCCAUCUUUUUGUUCUCAAAAAUGGUUGUCAAGAGGAUGGCAAAAGAAGGCCCACAUGUUAAGGAACAUGCCAUUGUCCAGCCCAAUUCAAGCAUGAACUGUCUAAGCCCAAUUCUAUUACAUAAACAAUAAGUCAUUUGUUAAGGUGGUGUUUGGUAACUUAAGUUAACUUUAAGUUAUAUUAUACUUAAGUUCUUGACUAAUAUUUAACACUAUUCGUGUUUGUUUUUUUACUUAAUUCUAAAUAGAACCUUAAUACUUAAUAGUGUUAAAUAUUAGAUUGUUUGUUUUUGUAGUAUUUUAUUUCUAUUAAGUAUUAAAAAGUAAAAAAAAAUCAAUAUGUUAUUUUUUCUAUUUAGAAAAAGCUAGAUAUUUUAAUUUUUUUUACUUAGUAAAAAGUUUAUAAUAGAUCAUAAAAAGGUAAAAAAAUAAACAAUCUAAAUUCUGAAAAUAAAUUACUUUCAGCAAAAAGCCAAAAAAACAAACACCACCUUAAACUAAUUCUUAUUUUAAGUAUUAAGAUUAUUUAUUUGAUAAAAUUUACGAGUAACAAUGGAGGUCAUAAAGUAACAAAAAAUGAUCGUGGAGGUAAUUAAGACAAAUAUAGAUAAAAAAAGUAAAAUAAAUAUAUAAACUUAUAAAUAAAUUAAUUAUUUUUACUUAUUAUUUAAAUUAAUUUUUUAUUUUAAGUCAUAUUAUUAAGUUGUUUUAUCAAAUAUAUUUAAUUCAUUUAAUAAUUUAAAUUCAGUUAUUAAAUCAUUUUUAAUUAUUAAGUUGAUUGAUCAAAUACCCACUAAAUUAUAUAUAAAAAAUUGAUAAUUAAAACCUUCGAAUAGACGGGUGUAUUUUUGGAUGGAAGUGAAAAUAAAUUGAAAAAAACAAAAAUUGAUGAAACCGAUUUAAUCCAACCAGAACUAAUUUAAAUCAAUUCGGCAUUUGAUUUGAGAAUGUUAAAAACCGAUUGUAUUGGUUAAUGCUGUGCCCUUAUCCUCGCGGGGUUGGAUAAAAAGUGACCGAGUCAGAGUGCACGUGAAACGGCCCCAAAGUAGGUGAGCACUUUUGGGCGAUGGGCAAGAGGGAAGUCCGCUGUUCCAACUUCCUAACUCCCAACUGCCAUUCAAACUUUGACUUAUCGAUUGCAGUCGCUGAAGAUCCAAUACAUGACCAGUCCAUUCCAUGUCUCCAAUCAUUUAGAUAUUUCUCCACUUGAAGGGAGCAUAUAUACCACUGUGCAAUUCGGAAUGGGACAGGAUCACCCAAAAACCAAGAAAUCAAAGGGCUGGACCCCUGAAUUAGUGAUGCCAACGCAUGUGGUCAUGUGGAAAUAAAAAGAAAGGGGUGGAGGUCAUUUUCCAAGCGCCUGUCUCUUCCUACUUGCACAACCCCAUAGUGCCUUUUGCCUGCCACUCCACAUGCCCACCACCCCAUCUUCCAUCCUCUUCUUCCCCCCCACCAUUAACACCUGCAAAUUAUAUACUUACCCAAGCCAAAGGGCAGAUGCAACCAUUAACUCCUCCAAAUAUUCUUGAAAAUGAAGUUUGACAUUCAAACCAUUACUUUCAGUAUUUGAGAAAAAGUGAUUUCUGAAAAUACUUACUUCAAUUUUUUAAUUCUUAGAAAGUAAUUGUUAAAAUUUUACAUUUAUUAAAAUACCUCUAAUAACAAAAAAUAAAAAACACAUUGGGAAAUGAUUUUAAGAGUAGAGUUUUUUUUUUCAAUAAAAAAUAUAAGAACAUAAUUAAAUAUUAUUUUAUAUUUUCUUUUUUUUUUUAAAUAGAAAAUAUAAUAUUUUCAUAAAACAUCUUUUAAUGUUUUUACUUACUUUUUGAGAUUAUUUAAAAAAAAUAAUUAUACCAAUAUAUAAAAUGAUUAAAAAAAAUAAUGAUUAUAAAAAUUAUUUUUAAAAAUAUUUUAAAUUAUUAAAUAUAUUUUUGUUUUAUAAAAUAUUAUAAAAUAGACCUAAAAAACGAUUUUUAAAAAUUAUUUUUAAAAAUGAUUAUCAAACAAAGAUGUAAUAUUUUGAUAUAAACAAAAAAAAAUGUAUUAAUGAUAUGUUAUAUGAUAAAAAGGAAAUUUAAAGAAUCAUUUCAUUGUGUAGAUUUCUUUGGAUUUUUAAAAGUCCAUUCCGUACCUAAUUUUUAUUAAAAAAAAAAAAAGUCUUAGAUAUUAAGAAAAGCUUUUAACUCUAUCCAAAUGGCUCGGGAAUCCUCCAAGUCACUCCCAAAAGCAAUUAAUAAAGCACGUGUGUUUAUUGUGAAAGAGAAGGAGUAGCUGCACCAGAAUUUUCGGCCGAAUAUGCCCGUGAAGAAAACUUGGAAAAUAGUACAGCCCAGCAUGGGUGGCCCACCACUGCCCACACCGCUCGCAGCUUUUUCCGCUUCAUCAUUACUAACUCGUGGAUGUAGCAAUUUAGACGGUGGGGUAAUUAAUGUAGGUGUUUAUUUGUUAGGUUUUUUUUAAUAAAUAAUUUAUUUUUAGAAUUUGGGAAAAUGGUUUUUCUACUUUUUUUUAUUUUUUAUUUUUUUAUUAUAAACUUUUUAUUGAAUAAAAAAAAGAUAAAAUAUUUAAUUUUUUUAAAAUAAAAAAACAUAUUAAUUUUUUUUAAAAUUUUUUAAUACUUAAUAAAAAUAAAAUACUAUAAAAACAAACAAUAUAAUAUUUAACACUAUUAAACAUUAAGAUUCUAUUCAAAAUUAAGUAAAAAAAUAAACAUCUAUUUAGAAAAAAUUACAAAGAUGGUGUUUAUUUUUUUGACUUUUUACCUAAAGCAAAUUAUUUUCAGAAUUUAUAUUAUUUGUUUUUCUACUUUUUCAUAACUUAUUAUAAUUUUUCAUUAAAUAAAAAAAGUCAAAUGUGGUAUUUGUUUUUUUACUUAAUUCUAAAUAGAACCUUAAUGCUUAAUAAUGUUAAAUAUUAGGUUGUUUGUUUUUAUAGUAUUUUAUUUUUAUUAAGUAUUAAAAAGUAAAAAAAAUCAAUAUGUUAUUUUUUCUAUUUAGAAAAAGCUACAUAUUUUGGCUUUUUCUAUUUAGUAAAAAGUUUAUAAUAAGUCAUGAAAAAGUAGAAAAAUAAACAAUCUAAAUUCUAAAACUAAAUUAUUUUCAGCAAAAAACCAAAAAAAUAAAUACCACCAAAAUAUGUAACUUCUUCUAAAUAGAAAAAAUAAUAUAUUGAUUUUUUUUUACUUUUUAAUACUUAAUAGAAAUAAAAAAAUUACAAAAAUAAAUAACAUAAUAUUUAACACUAUUAAAAAUUAAGGUUAUAUUUAAAAUUAAGUAAAAAAAACAAAUAUUAUCAUAACUUUUCUAUUUAGUAAAAAAUUUAUAAUAAAUUAUGAAAAAAUAAAUUCAUUUCAAUGAAAAACCCAAAAAAACAACACCACCUAAACUUUGCUCUUAUCAAGAAAUGCAAAAUUAUGCAUUAAUGCCAGUUUUUUUAAAUAUAUAUUAGAAUUUUUAAAUUAAAAAUAAUAAAAGGUAAAUGGCUUUUCUUUUUCUUUUUUAUGAGUAUUUUUGGAAAUUGGGUGGUGCUCCAAAAAUGACAAACAUGUCCCAUCCACUACCCAUUGUGGGCCUAUUCUUGGGCUUGGUGUGACAUGCGCGUGAUGCCAACACCUCCCAUUUACUACCAGUCACUACCCUUUCGCCAAACUCAAAAUGUAUAAUGCACGACGAGAGAGCCCAUUACUCAAAAUGCAAAAAACUACACGUAACUUGCACAUGAAUCCAAUAAAACGCCAAUUACAUGCAUCAUCCAUUUGAUCGCAAUCAGAUAAAAUGGACGGCCCUGAUGACAAUAAUGCUGAAAUCCACGACAACAUUGAAAACAAGAAAACAAGAAAUCAAAAAACUCGAACCAGAAUAAAAUAGAUACAAUGAAAAGCCGUUGGCCGGAGCGGCCAUACGAAUCUACGAUGUUAUUGAACUAGAACUCGGAGCCAGGCAAUGGCUCAUGGGUGUGGUGGAUGAAGACGGUUUCAUAGACGAGGCCUGCAAUCCCACCUCCAAUGAGAGGCCCUGCCCAGUACACCCAGUGGUUGGUCCAGUCCCAGCUCACCAGAGCAGGCCCAAACGACAUAGCCGGAUUCAUGGAUGCUCCGUCGAAUGCCCCACCCGCCAGAAUGUUGGCUGCAACAAUCAAACCAAUGGCAAGGGGUGCGAUUAUCCCCACAUUGCCCUUCCUCGGGUCAAUGGCAGUCGCGUACACCGUGUAAACCAGCCCAAAAGUCAUCACGAUCUCAAGAACAAACGCAUUCCACACUGUUACUCCAGAAGAUAUCGCAAAUGCGGAUGUUGUCUGCACCAUUUUAUUAUAAUCAUCACCUCACUAAUUCUAUAACUUAUAAACUAUGUAACUGUAAUAACUAACUCACCAUGCCAUGAGUGCAGAACUUUAGGAGCAAGCAGGCCACCGCGGAACCAAGGAGCUGAGCUAUCCAGUAAAGGAUUCCACGUAGGAGAGUGAUGUUUCCACCGACGAAGGCUCCAAAUGUGACAGCGGGGUUGAUGUGACCGCCGGAGAUGUUGCAUGCCCCCGACACUGCCACAAACAGUCCAAGGCCAUGUCCCAAUGCUUCGGCAAUGAGGCCGGCCGGUGUGGUGGAACCAUCAUCGGUGAGCUUGCUGAAGGCCAUGCCGGAGCCUUCUCCGGCGAACACAAAAAUUAGGGUGCCGAAAAACUCCGCCAACGCCGCCUUGAGCGCAUCGGGUUGAUAGGUCUCCUGCGGCUGGCCGAUGGCAAUCCUAAGAAACGGCAUUGUGGAAAACUCGAUGAUAAAAGCUGAAGAGAUAGGAUGAAAAAAAAUGGAGAGCCUCA
rnacentral:lncRNA from 1 species